CAGUAGCCGCGGUAAUACGUAGGGUGCGAGCGUUAAUCGGAAUUACUGGGCGUAAAGCGUGCGCAGGCGGUUCGUUAAGACAGAUGUGAAAUCCCCGGGCUUAACCUGGGAACUGCAUUUGUGACUGGCGAGCUAGAGUAUGGCAGAGGGGGGUAGAAUUCCACGUGUAGCAGUGAAAUGCGUAGAUAUGCGGAGGAACACCGAUGGCGAAGGCAAUCCCCUGGGCCUGUACUGACGCUCAUGCACGAAAGCGUGGGGAGCAAACAGGAUUAGAUACCCGCGUAGUCCCUGUCUCUUAUAC
rnacentral:rRNA from 1 species